rnacentral:rRNA from 1 species
UGCGGGUGCUUUACCUGCAAGUCGAACGGCAGCAUGGAGAGCUUGCUCUCUGAUGGCGAGUGGCGAACGCGUGAGUAAUAUAUCGGAACGUGCCCAGUAAUGGGGAAUAACUAAUUGAAAGAUUAGCUAAUACCGCAUACGACCUACGGGUGAAAGCAGGGGAUCUUCGGACCUUGCGUUAUUGGAGCGGCCGAUAUCUGAUUAGCUAGUUGGUGGGGUAAAAGCCUACCAAGGCGACGAUCAGUAGCUGGUCUGAGAGGACGAUCAGCCACACUGGAACUGAGACACGGUCCAGACUCCUACGGGAGGCAGCAGUGGGGAAUUUUGGACAAUGGGGGAAACCCUGAUCCAGCCAUCCCGCGUGAGUGAAGAAGGCCUUCGGGUUGUAAAGCUCUUUCGGAAGUGAAGAAAACUUAUUUCGUAAUAUGUUAUAAGAAUGACGGUAACUUUAGAAGAAGCACCGGCUAACUACGUGCCAGCAGCCGCGGUAAUACGUAGGGUGCGAGCGUUAAUCGGAAUUACUGGGCGUAAAGCGUGCGCAGGCGGUUUUGUAAGUCAGAUGUGAAAUCCCCGAGCUUAACUUGGGAACUGCGUUUGAAACUACAAGACUAGAGUGUGUCAGAGGGGGGUAGAAUUCCACGUGUAGCAGUGAAAUGCGUAGAGAUGUGGAGGAAUAUCAAUGGCGGAGGCAGCCCCCUGGGAUAACACUGACGCUCAUGCACGAAAGCGUGGGGAGCGAACAGGAUUAGAUACCCUGGUAGUCCACGCCCUAAACGAUGUCAACUAGUUGUUGGUGGAGUAA